rnacentral:rRNA from 1 species
CAAUAGCGUAUAUUAAAGUUGUUGCAGUUAAAAAGCUCGUAGUUGGAUUUGUGGCGUACGGUGUGUUCCGGGCACUUGUUGUCUGAGUAACCUGCUGUUGCCAUCCUUGGGUGGAACCUGUGUGGCAUUAGGUUGUCGUGCAGGGGAUGCCCAUCAUUUACUGUGAAAAAAUUAGAGUGUUCAAAGCAGGCUUAUGCCGUUGAAUAUAUUAGCAUGGAAUAAUGAGAUAGGACUUUUUUGCUAUUUUGUUGGUUUGCGCAAGAAGGUAAUGAUUAAUAGGGACAGUUGGGGGUAUUCGUAUUCCACUGUCAGAGGUGAAAUUCUUGGAUUUUUGGGAGACGAACUACUGCGAAAGCAUUUACCAAGGAUGUUUUCAUUAA